rnacentral:rRNA from 1 species
CCUACGGGUGGCAGCAGUGAGGAAUAUUGGUCAAUGGACGAGAGUCUGAACCAGCCAAGUAGCGUGAAGGAUGACUGCCCUAUGGGUUGUAAACUUCUUUUAUAUGGGAAUAAAAUGUUCCACGUGUGGGAUUUUGUAUGUACCAUAUGAAUAAGGAUCGGCUAACUCCGUGCCAGCAGCCGCGGUAAUACGGAGGAUCCGAGCGUUAUCCGGAUUUAUUGGGUUUAAAGGGAGCGUAGGUGGAUUGUUAAGUCAGUUGUGAAAGUUUGCGGCUCAACCGUAAAAUUGCAGUUGAAACUGGCAGUCUUGUGUACAGUAGAGGUGGGCGGAAUUCGUGGUGUAGCGGUGAAAUGCUUAGAUAUCACGAAGAACUCCGAUUGUGAAGGCAGUUCACUGGACUGCAACUGACACUGAGGCUCGAAAGUGUGGGUAUCAAACAGGAUUAGAUACCCCAGUAGUC